AUUGAACGCUGGCGGCAUGCCUUACACAUGCAAGUCGAACGGUAACGCGGGGCAACCUGGCGACGAGUGGCGAACGGGUGAGUAACGCAUCGGAACGUGCCCAGUAGUGGGGGAUAGCCCGGCGAAAGCCGGAUUAAUACCGCAUACGACCUACGGGUGAAAGAGGGGGAUCGCAAGACCUCUCGCUAUUGGAGCGGCCGAUGUCAGAUUAGGUAGUUGGUGGGGUAAAGGCCUACCAAGCCUACGAUCUGUAGCUGGUCUGAGAGGACGACCAGCCAAGCUGGGACUGAGACACGGCCCAGACUCCGACGGGAGGCAGCAGUGGGGAAUUUUGGACAAUGGGCGCAAGCCUGAUCCAGCCAUGCCGCGUGCGGGAAGAAGGCCUUCGGGUUGUAAACUGCUUUUGUACGGAGCGAAAAGGCCCUCUCUAAUACAGUGGGCUCAUGACGGUACCGUAAGAAUAAGCACCGGCUAACUACGUGCCAGCAGCCGCCGUAA
rnacentral:rRNA from 1 species